rnacentral:rRNA from 1 species
AGCUCCAAUAGCGUAUAUUAAAGUUGCUGCAGUUAAAAAGCUCGUAGUUGGAUCUCGGGUCCAGGCUUGCGGUUCUGCUCGUGCAGACACUGAUCGUCCUGACCUACCUGCCGGUGUUCCACUGGUGCCCUUAACUGGGUGUCUCGGGUUGCCGGAACGUUUACUUUGAAAAAAUUAGAGUGUUCAAAGCAGGCAGUCUGCCUGAAUAAUGGUGCAUGGAAUAAUAGAAAAGGACCUCGGUUCUAUUUUGUUGGUUUUCGGAACUUGAUGUAAUGAUUAAGAGGGACAGACGGGGGCAUUCGUAUUACGGUGUUAGAGGUGAAAUUCUUGGAUCGCCGUAAGACGAACUACUGCGAAAGCAUUUGCCAAGAAUGUUUUCA